UACAGAGGUCUCAAGCGUUGUUCGGAUUUACUGGGCGUAAAGGGCGCGUAGGCGGUCAGCACAAGUCAGUUGUGAAAUCUCCGGGCUUAACUCGGAAAGGUCAACUGAUACUGUGCGACUAGAGUGCAGAAGGGGCAACUGGAAUUCUCGGUGUAGCGGUGAAAUGCGUAGAUAUCGAGAGGAACACCUGCGGCGAAGGCGGGUUGCUGGGCUGACACUGACGCUGAUGCGCGAAGGCCAGGGGAGCAAACGGG
rnacentral:rRNA from 1 species